rnacentral:rRNA from 1 species
AACGGCCGCGGUAUCUUGACCGUGUGAAGGUAGCGUAAUCAUUUGUCUUUUAAAUGAAGACCUGUAUGAAUGGCACAACGAGAGCUUAACUGUCUCACUCUCUCUGUCAAUGAAAUUGAUCUCCCCGUGCAGAAGCGGGGAUAAUAACAUAAGACGAAAAGACCCUAUGGAGCUUUAGAAUCUGAAACAGCCCUAUAUAUACUCAACAAACAUACAUAGACCCCUGUUUCUCACAUUUCUUCGGUUGGGGCGACCAUGGAGAAAAACAAAACCUCCAAGAAAAAACUACCAAAGUUUUAUAAAAAAAGAGUAACAAUUCUAAUAUACAGAACAUCUGCUUUAGAAACGAUCCGGGACAACUCCCGAUCAACGAAACAAGUUACCCUAGGGAUAACAGCGCAAUCCCCUUUUAGAGCCCACAUCGACAAGGGGGUUUACGACCUCGAUGUUGGAUCAGGACAUCCUAAU